rnacentral:rRNA from 1 species
UACAUAGGGUGCAAGCGUUAUUCGGAAUAACUGGGCGUAAAGGGCGUGUAGGUGGCUUCAGAAGUCUGGCGUUAAAUCUCUUGGCUCAACCAAGAGCUCGCGUUGGAAACCAUGGAGCUUGAGUCCUGCAGGGGUAAGCGGAAUUCCCCGGUGUGAGCAGUGAAAUGCGUUGAUAUCGGGAGGAACACCUAUGGCGAAGGCAGCUUACUAGGCAGGUACUGACACUGAGGCGCGAAAGCGUGGGUAGCGAACAGG